GCCGGCGUAGCUCAACGGUAGAGCGGCUGAUUCGUAAUCAGCAGGUCGAGGGUUCGAAUCCCUCCGCCGGCUCCA
rnacentral:tRNA from 1 species